rnacentral:rRNA from 1 species
UACGGGGGGGGCUAGCGUUGCUCGGAAUCACUGGGCGUAAAGGGUGCGUAGGCGGGUUUUUAAGUCAGAGGUGAAAUCCUGGAGCUCAACUCCAGAACUGCCUUUGAUACUGAGAAUCUUGAGUAUGGGAGAGGUGAGUGGAACUGCGAGUGUAGAGGUGAAAUUCGUAGAUAUUCGCAAGAACACCAGUGGCGAAGGCGGCUCACUGGCCCAUAACUGACGCUGAGGCACGAAAGCGUGGGGAGCAAACAGG